rnacentral:rRNA from 1 species
CCUACGGGUCGCAGCAGUAGGGAAUCUUCGGCAAUGGACGAAAGUCUGACCGAGCAACGCCGCGUGAGUGAAGAAGGUUUUCGGAUUGUAAAACUCUGUUGUUAGAGAAGUACAAGUAGGAGAGUAACUGCUCUUACCUUGACGGUAUCUAACCAGAAAGCCACGGCUAACUACGUGCCAGCAGCCGCGGUAAUACGUAGGUGGCAAGCGUUGUCCGGAUUUAUUGGGCGUAAAGCGAGCGCAGGCGGUCUUUUAAGUCUGAUGUGAAAGCCCUCGGCUCAACCGAGGAAGGUCAUUGGAAACUGGAGGACUUGAGUGCAGAAGAGGAGAGUGGAAUUCCAUGUGUAGCGGUGAAAUGCGUAGAUAUAUGGAGGAACACCAGUGGCGAAGGCGACUCUCUGGUCUGUAACUGACGCUGAGGCUCGAAAGCGUGGGGAGCAAACAGGAUUAGAUACCCCGGUAGUC